GGGGAUAGAGCUCAGUUGGUAUAGUGCUUGCCUUGCAAACAUAAGGCCCUGGGUUCAAUCCCCAGUACCCCA
rfam:Ictidomys tridecemlineatus contig123030, whole genome shotgun sequence.